rnacentral:rRNA from 1 species
GCGCCUCGUGAAUUCAUCUCCGGGGGUAGAGCACUGUUUCGGCUAGGGGGCCAUCCCGGCUUACCAACCCGAUGCAAACUGCGAAUACCGGAGAAUGUUAUCACGGGAGACACACGGCGGGUGCUAAUGUCCGUCGUGAAGAGGGAAACAACCCAGACCGCCAGCUAAGGUCCCAAAGUCAUGGUUAAGUGGGAAACGAUGUGGGAAGGCCCAGACAGCCAGGAUGUUGGCUUAGAAGCAGCCAUCAUUUAAAGAAAGCGUAAUAGCUCACUGGUCGAGUCGGCCUGCGCGGAAGAUGUAACGGGGCUAAACCAUGCACCGAAGCUGCGGCAGCGACACCGUGUGUUGUUGGGUAGGGGAGCGUUCUGUAAGCCUGUGAAGGUGUGCUGUGAGGCAUGCUGGAGGUAUCAGAAGUGCGAAUGCUGACAUAAGUAACGAUAAAGCGGGUGAAAAGCCCGCUCGCCGGAAGACCAAGGGUUCCUGUCCAACGUUAAUCGGGGCAGGGUGAGUCGACCCCUAAGGCGAGGCCGAAAGGCGUAGUCGAUGGGAAACGGGUUAAUAUUCCCGUACUUGGUGUUACUGCGAAGGGGGGACGGAGAAGGCUAUGUUGGCCGGGCGACGGUUGUCCCGGUUUAAGCGUGUAGGUAUGUGUUCCAGGUAAAUCCGGUUCACUUUAACACUGAGGCGUGACGACGAGGCACUACGGUGCUGAAGCAACAAAUGCCCUGCUUCCAGGAAAAGCCUCUAAGCAUCAGGUAACAUCAAAUCGUACCCCAAACCGACACAGGUGGUCAGGUAGAGAAUACCAAGGCGCUUGAGAGAACUCGGGUGAAGGAACUAGGCAAAAUGGUGCCGUAACUUCGGGAGAAGGCACGCUGACACGUAGGUGAAGUGAUUUACUCACGGAGCUGAAGUCAGCCGAAGAUACCAGCUGGCUGCAACUGUUUAUUAAAAACACAGCACUGUGCAAACACGAAAGUGGACGUAUACGGUGUGACGCCUGCCCGGUGCCGGAAGGUUAAUUGAUGGGGUCAGCGCAAGCGAAGCUCCUGAUCGAAGCCCCGGUAAACGGCGGCCGUAACUAUAACGGUCCUAAGGUAGCGAAAUUCCUUGUCGGGUAAGUUCCGACCUGCACGAAUGGCGUAAUGAUGGCCAGGCUGUCUCCACCCGAGACUCAGUGAAAUUGAACUCGCUGUGAAGAUGCAGUGUACCCGCGGCAAGACGGAAAGACCCCGUGAACCUUUACUAUAGCUUGACACUGAACAUUGAGCCUUGAUGUGUAGGAUAGGUGGGAGGCUUUGAAGUGUGGACGCCAGUCUGCAUGGAGCCGACCUUGAAAUACCACCCUUUAAUGUUUGAUGUUCUAACGUGGACCCGUGAUCCGGGUUGCGGACAGUGUCUGGUGGGUAGUUUGACUGGGGCGGUCUCCUCCUAAAGAGUAACGGAGGAGCACGAAGGUUGGCUAAUCCUGGUCGGACAUCAGGAGGUUAGUGCAAUGGCAUAAGCCAGCUUGACUGCGAGCGUGACGG